UACAGAGGGUGCUAGCGUUGUUCGGAAUUACUGGGCGUAAAGAGCAUGUAGGCGGCCUAGAAAGUCAGGUGUGAAAUCCCGGUGCCUAACACCGGAAUUGCAUUUGAAACUUCUAGGCUAGAGUGCAGUAGAGGCUGGCGGAAUUCCUAGUGUAGUGGUGAAAUACGUAGAUAUUAGGAAGAACACCGGUGGCGAAGGCGGCCAGCUGGGCUGUUACUGACGCUAAAGUGCGAAAGCGUGGGGAGCAAACAGG
rnacentral:rRNA from 1 species